UUAUUUUUGUAAAAUUAUAAAGAUACUUUUACAAUAAUAUGUUUAUUCUUAUAAAAGUAUCUUGUUAGUGUUUUUCUAAUAUACAGUAAUAUAAUUUUAAAAUACAGUAAUAUAAUUUAUGUUUUUUAUUAUUUUUUUUAUUGCUUUUUUUUUAGUUACAUAGGUUGUUGUACGUAAAGCAGAACUGAUUUGAUAACUGUUAUUUUUAUUGACUGUUGACAAUUUCAAGAUGUUUUUUUUUUUUUUUUGAUUGUAUAACUUUUUUGUUAUCUUUAGGCCAAUUUGCACAGACUACAGCUAGUAAGUUAUUAUAGCAUAACUUUAAUUAACCAUUAAAGAAAUAUAAAUAAAUAUGCAUUUCUUACUUAUUUAUUUAUUACUUGUCGUGUAUGGAUUUCCCAUCUGCUGCAAUAUUAAUUUUUUAAUUUUAGUAUCUACCUCUUGUACUACACCUGUAUCUACCUCUUGUGCUACACCUGGGUGUUAUAACAUCAUAACCACAUCUACGGCCAACUCUAAGAUCACCUUAUUUUGUUUGGCAGUGUUCUGGAAUCAAGUUAUGGCAAUAUUUUAUGUAUAAAAUCUAAUAAUUACAUUAAAAAAGUGCUUAUUUUUGACAAAAACUUGUAUUUUCUUAAGGGUUAGAUGGUGUUUCAUUACCCCCUCUGGCUCCCAAGAUACACCCUAC